rnacentral:rRNA from 1 species
ACGGAGGAUGCAAGCGUUAUCCGGAAUUAUUGGGCGUAAAGCGUCCGCAGGUGGUUACUCAAGUCUGCUGUCAAAUACUAGAGCUUAACUCUGGAAGGGCAGUGGAAACUGAGAAACUAGAGUCCGGUAGGGGUAGCGGGAAUUCCCAGUGUAGCGGUGAAAUGCGUAGAUAUUGGGAAGAACAUCGGUGGCGAAAGCGCGCUACUGGGCCGGAACUGACACUCAGGGACGAAAGCUAGGGUAGCGAAAGGGAUUAGAUACCCCUGUAGUCCUAGCCGUAAACGAUGGAAACUAGGUGUGGCUUGUAUCGACCCAAGCCGUGCCGAAGCUAACGCGUUAAGUUUCCCGCCUGGGGAGUACGCACGCAAGUGUG